AGUGAACGCUGGUGGUAGGCCUAACACAUGCAAGUCGAACGGCAGCACAGUAAGAGCUUGCUCUUACGGGUGGCGAGUGGCGGACGGGUGAGGAAUACAUCGGAAUCUACUUUUUCGUGGGGGAUAACGUAGGGAAACUUACGCUAAUACCGCAUACGACCUACGGGUGAAAGCAGGGGAUCUUCGGACCUUGCGCGAUUGAAUGAGCCGAUGUCGGAUUAGCUAGUUGGCGGGGUAAAGGCCCACCAAGGCGACGAUCCGUAGCUGGUCUGAGAGGAUGAUCAGCCACUCUGGAACUGAGACACGGUCCAGACUCCUACGGGAGGCAGCAGUGGGGAAUAUUGGACAAUGGGCGCAAGCCUGAUCCAGCCAUACCGCGUGGGUGAAGAAGGCCUUCGGGUUGUAAAGCCCUUUUGUUGGGAAAGAAAAGCAGCAGGUUAAUACCCCGCUGUUCUGACGGUACCCAAAGAAUAAGCACCGGCUAACUUCGUG
rnacentral:rRNA from 1 species